rnacentral:tRNA from 1 species
GGCCCGUUCGUCUAUCGGUUAGGACGCCGUUUUUCAUCCCGGUAAGGGGGUUCGAUUCCCCCACGGGCUA